UCUAUAAUAAUUGAAUCGAUUAAAUUCUUGCUUUUCAGACCUUCAACUGCAGGAAUAAAUCAAGCUGGUCCACGAAAGUGAUGACGUCGCCUGGUUGGACGAUAUCAACAGUCGGAAAAGUCCCACGUAAAAACUGUCCCGCCGGAUUGGAUCAAGAUAGUUUCCUGUUGGAUGACGGAUAUCAAUGCUGAGCAGAUUGCUGUUUAUGGUUCGAAUAACAGAAAUUUAAGAUAGGGAAUUUUGACGAAAUUUCGUUUCAGUAAAUGAUUCCGAAAGCAGUGUAAGGUCAACUUCAACCUGUUCCACACCAUCCAUCAUGGGUUCAUCUAGCAGACGCCGAUGUCGGUGGGUUCCGAAACAGCGAGUCUUUCAUUUUAGGCGUCAUCGAAGGAAAAAUUCAAAGAUAAAGGACGAUGUUAGGUUUUUUUUUCCAAACGGCCGUGCUGGACGAUCUUUCUGAGGAUUCUUAGUACAAGAUACAGAUUUGGCUCCAGCGGAGAAAUAGUUGGUAAUUUUUGAAAAAAAAAUUGUGGUGG